rnacentral:rRNA from 1 species
UACAUGUGGGGCAAGCGUUGUUCGGAAUUACUGGGCAUAAAGGGUGCGUAGGCGGCUUGUUAAGUCAGGGGUGAAAGUUUUCGGCCCAACCGGAAAAUUGCCUUUGAUACUGGCGAGCUGGAGUGCGUGAGGGGUGACCGGAACGAGUGGUGUAGCGGUGAAAUGCGUAGAUAUCUGGAGGAAUACCGGUGGCGAAGGCGGCAUCCUGGACCGGCAUUGACGCUGAGGAGCGAAAGCUAGGGGAGCAAACGGG